rnacentral:rRNA from 1 species
UACAGAGGGUGCGAGCGUUGUUCGGAAUUAUUGGGCGUAAAGGGCGCGUAGGCGGUGCGGUAAGUCACCUGUGAAACCUCUGGGCUUAACUCAGAGCCUGCAGGCGAAACUACCGUGCUGGAGUGUGGGAGAGGUGCGUGGAAUUCUCGGUGUAGCGGUGAAAUGCGUAGAUAUCGGGAGGAACACCUGUGGCGAAAGCGGCGCACUGGACCACAACUGACGCUGAGGCGCGAAAGCUAGGGGAGCAAACAGG